rnacentral:rRNA from 1 species
UGUAUGUACGGGCGAGAGGGCGGGGGAAUAGGGGGGGGGUUAGGGUUGUGCGGGUGGACUGGGCGUAAAGAGGGCGCAGGCGGUCGGUGAAGGUGAGUGUGAAAGCCCCCGGCGAAACUGGGGAGGGUCACUCGAUACUGAUCGACUCGAAGGCAGGAGAGGGAAGCGGAAUGCCCGGUGUAGUGGUGAAAUGCGUAGAUAUCGGGAGGAACACCAGUGGCGAAGGCGGCUUUCUGGCCUGCUCUUGACGCUGAGGCGCGAAAGCUAGGGUAGCAAACGGGAUUAGAUACCCGGGUAGUC